GCCCUGACAUAGCUCAGUUGGUGGAGCAUGGUACUCUUAAUCUCAGGUUCAUAGGUUUGAGCCCCAUGUUGGGCA